GGGACCCAGUGCAGCCUGACAAGGUGGCUAUGGCUUUGACUUUCAGCGUCUGUGGAUCCUUCCUCUUUAGUCAGAAGUACAGAGACAGCCCCAGCUGUGUGCCGAGAACAGAGGUAAAGUGAUGGGCAAAUGCCGGACAGCUCUGUCCCACGGGGCCUGGGCCCAGUGGAGCCGAUGAGCACUCAACCAGUGAUCCCCCAGGAGAGUGCAGAGUCGUGGUAAGGACGUCUGUGGGGGUGACGGGAGCAAGGGAAGGGCCCCUGGAGUGAGCUGUGUCAAUCAACAGAGUGGGCUGCACGUGUCUGGGAGCCUGCCUGGUGCCCCGGGAGGCCUGUGAAGAGAGGCCACAGGUGCGGCCAGGGAGAUCUCGAGAGCGCACCUUGGCCCCAGAACAGCAGCAUCCAUGGUGUGAGCCCUGGGAGGCCCCGACUGAGGUGAGAUUGGAUCCCUCCCGGGUGGAGAUGGGCUGCAGAGGGGCCCCUGGAAGCAGGAGACAGAAGGCUGUGCUGUUAGGAGGCAGGAGGCGAGGACAGCCUGGACCCAGGGAGUGGGUGGAGACCCAGAGAAUGAACAAGACAGCCUGCGGCAGAGCUUGGAAAUUGGUGAGCAGUGUAUCCGUUAACGGGAAAAUGCCCAUGGUCCUUGCCAAUGCAGGCCGACAAGAUGAACAGCCAUGCGUGUGCGCACAGAAGGGCCCGGCUUUUCAUCCUUGUGAGAGGAGAGCGAAGCCAGGAAGCGGGCGGGAGGGAGAGGAACGCACACCCCACAGGUGAGGGUGUUUAUCUUCCUGCUGCGCGAAGAUGGCUGAUUGCUUCCCUUCCAUUGUUUGUUUCUCGAGUAUUCUGCAUUGAACAAAUAUUGACUUUGUAAUUUUAAAAAAUGUUUUAUGAAAAAGAUACAAGCAACUCACGUAGGCCGCUUCUUCCUACUUUGCCAGGCCUGGCCGUCUGGGCCUCCCCGAGUCGGGGCAGGUUUCACUCCACCUGUCCAACAGAGGUGUGGACCCCAGGAGGACAGAGCUCAAGGAGCCGCUGACCUGACCAUCUGCCCAGCAGCUGGGAGCGCUCCUGUGCCCAGGCUGUGCCGGGCACGGGGACCCUGGAGGCAGAGAGACACAGGCCCACACCAGCACCCUGGAGGAGGCUGUGUCCUUGGGGAAAGAAAGUCCUUGGAGACCAUCGGUGGAUCCAGCACAUUCUCCAAGCUGUGUGCUGAGCGAAGCCAGGGAGGGUUUGCCCUGGAGGCCACAGGCGUCCCGGCCCUGUAUGAGGAGGAUCCCCGCCCUCCCUGCAGUCGGGAACGACCCUGCCCUUGACAGGAUGCUGGGUGGACCCCGAGGAGACAACUGGGUGGACAGGUGUGGACAGAGCCACCAUAAGGACAGAGCAGCCGCCGGGGGGCUGCCACCGCCCCUGCAACACAGGGCCCAGAUUGCCUGCUUCCUCUCAGUAAGUGCCUUGUUAAUGACUGCACGGGCCAUUAUGUGCUGUGGAGCUGCAGUAAUUGGAAAACUAACCUCUCAGCAGCAGGCUGGCUGCCCUCACAACUGCUGGAGGCACCUGGGAGAUUCUGGACACUGGGCUGGAUGUGGAGGACAAUAGGUGGCUGCGCAGAAGGAAGGCCCAGUGGGCAGGAUCUUCUCUUCCUGAGAGCAGCAGCUGGGCGAGGGGCUCAGGACUCCCCAGCAGGGGAAGCACCCAGACUCCAGGGGUCAUCCACCUGAGGCUUCUCCCAGCCUGGCAGGAGCCUGGCUCCAAACAAGGCUAAAGCUCCUACGUCCUCAGCCCUGACUUGCUCUCUGGGACUGCAGGCUGGUGCCAUGUCCGGAGAGGUGAGGAAGGGCUCUGGGCGGGGUCCAGUCCAAGUCCAAGUCCAGCCCAGUCCACUUGGUGAUAUGCAUGCAGCCUCCUCCAGGAAGGCGGCCGCAAUCCCCUGCUCACUGCAAAGGGGGCCUACAGCUCCUCCCUGGAAUGCCCCUGCCCCCAUGCCCAGCCCUGUCCCCCGGCCCCGCAGGGUGGCCCCUCAGCGUCACGAGCCCUCUGCACCAUUCUGAAUGCACAGAGUAACUGCUCACAGUGCGAGUGGACGUGAGCACAGACACAGAGAAAGCGGACACCAAGUGCCAGGAUUCACAGCCAGGGGGCUGGAGGAGGGAGACAGCU
rnacentral:lncRNA from 1 species